UACAGAGGUGGCAAGCGUUGUUCGGAAUUACUGGGCGUAAAGGGCGCGUAGGCGGCCACCGCAAGUCGACUGUGAAAUCUCCGGGCUUAACCCGGAAAGGUCAACCGAUACUGCGGGGCUAGAGUGCAGAAGGGGGCAACUGGAAUUCUCGGUGUAGUGGUGAUAUGCGUAGAUAUCGGGAGGAACACCUGUGGCGAAGGCGGCUUUCUGGGCCUUACCUGACGCUGAGACGCGAAAGCGUGGGGAGCGAACCGG
rnacentral:rRNA from 1 species